UCGGGAAUAUUGCGCAAUGGAGGGAACUCUGACGCAGUGACGCCGCGUAUAGGAAGAAGGUCUUCGGAUUGUAAACUAUUGUCGUUAGGGAAGAAAAAGGACAGUACCUAAGGAGGAAGCUCCGGCUAACUACGUGCCAGCAGCCGCGGUAAUACGUAGGGAGCGAGCGUUAUCCGGAUUUAUUGGGUGUAAAGGGUGCGUAGACGGGUUAGCAAGUUAGUUGUGAAAUCCCUCGGCUCAACUGAGGAACUGCAACUAAAACUGUUAAUCUUGAGUGCAGGAGAGGAAAGCGGAAUUCCUAGUGUAGCGGUGAAAUGCGUAGAUAUUAGGAGGAACACCAGUGGCGAAGGCGGCUUUCUGGACUGUAACUGACGUUGAGGCACGAAAGUGUGGGGAGCAAACA
rnacentral:rRNA from 1 species